rnacentral:rRNA from 1 species
GAUGAACGCUGGCGGCGUGCCUAAUACAUGCAAGUCGAGCGAACAGACGAGGAGCUUGCUCCUCUGACGUUAGCGGCGGACGGGUGAGUAACACGUGGAUAACCUACCUACAAGACUGGGAUAACUUCGGGAAACCGGAGCUAAUACCGGAUAAUAUAUUGAACCGCAUGGUUCUAUAGUGAAAGACGGUUUUGCUGUCACUUAUAGAUGGAUCCGCGCCGCAUUAGCUAGUUGGUAAGGUAACGGCUUACCAAGGCAACGAUGCGUAGCCGACCUGAGAGGGUGAUCGGCCACACUGGAACUGAGACACGGUCCAGACUCCUACGGGAGGCAGCAGUAGGGAAUCUUCCGCAAUGGGCGAAAGCCUGACGGAGCAACGCCGCGUGAGUGAUGAAGGUCUUCGGAUCGUAAAACUCUGUUAGUAGGGAAGAACAAAUGUGUAAGUAACUAUGCACGUCUUGACGGUACCUAAUCAGAAAGCCACGGCUAACUACGUG